rnacentral:rRNA from 1 species
AAUGAACGCUGGCGGCAUGCCUAACACAUGCAAGUCGAACGAAGGCUUCGGCCUUAGUGGCGCACGGGUGCGUACCGCGUGGGAAUCUGCCCUCAGGUUCGGAAUAACAGCGAGAAAUUGUUGCUAAUACCGGAUGAUAUCGCGAGAUCCAAGUUUUAUCGCCUGCGGAUGAGCCCGCGUAGGAUUAGCUAGUUGGUGUGGUAAAGGCGCACCAAGGCGACGAUCCUUAGCUGGUUUGAGAGGAUGAUCAGCCACACUGGGACUGAGACCCGGCCCAGACUCCUACGGGAGGCAGCAGUGGGGAAUAUUGGACAAUGGGCGAAAGCCUGAUCCAGCAAUGCCGCGUGAGUGAUGAAGGCCUUAGGGUCGUAAAGCUCUUUUACCCGGGAUGAUAAUGACAGUACCGGGAGAAUAAGCUCCGGCUAACUCCGUGCCAGCAGCCGCCGUAA